rnacentral:RNase_P_RNA from 2 species
ACCUUGUAUCGGGCAGUCGCGCUUUGGGGUAACCCAAGGUGAGGAAAGUCCGAACUCGGACCGGUUCAGUCCGGAAAGGUAGCGGGUAAUACCCGUCGUAGGCAACUAUAGAGGUGCGAGCAGUGACGCCGAUGUCGAAAGACUAGGAUUCCUUCGGGAAUAAGCCCGUCGAAAGUCGGGAGUGAAACGGCUAAAUCCUUACCCCCGUGCAAGGCCGUGCUUUACGCAAGUAAAGAGUGCCGCUUGAGAUCAUUCGCAAGAAUGAUCCUAGAUAAAUGGCUGUCGCCUUUUGGAAAUUUUCCACGGGGUACAGAAUUCGGCUUAUAGAUACAAGGUACAU